AUUGAACGCUGGCGGCAUGCCUUACACAUGCAAGUCGAACGGUAACAGGUCUUCGGAUGCUGACGAGUGGCGAACGGGUGAGUAAUACAUCGGAACGUGCCUAGUAGUGGGGGAUAACUACUCGAAAGAGUGGCUAAUACCGCGUGAGAUCUACGGAUGAAAGCAGGGGAUCGCAAGACCUUGUGCUACUAGAGCGGCCGAUGGCAGAUUAGGUAGUUGGUGGGAUAAAAGCUUACCAAGCCGACGAUCUGUAGCUGGUCUGAGAGGACGAUCAGCCACACUGUGACUGAGACACAGCCCAGACUCCUACGGGAGGCAGCAGUGGGGAAUUUUGGACAAUGGGCGCAAGCCUGAUCCAGCAAUGCCGCGUGCAGGAUGAAGGCCUUCGGGUUGUAAACUGCUUUUGUACGGAACGAAAAGCCCUGGGUUAAUACCCUGGGGUCAUGACGGUACCGUAAGAAUAAGCACCGGCUAACUACGUGCCAGCCGCCGCGGUAAAAC
rnacentral:rRNA from 1 species